GUAACCUUAGAGCCAACCCGCCAUCCCGAGGCUCGAUGGUCACUAUGAUCAUUGGGCGAUGUUGAUGGAAAAUUUUCUCAGAUCAAAAGAGUUUUUUGAUAUGGUGGAGACGGGUUAUGAAGAUCUAAAUGAAGGCGAGUUACUCUCAGCUGGUCAACAGCAACUGUUGGCAGCAUCAAAGUUGAAGGACCUGAAGGUCAAGAACUAUUUAUUUUAGUCCAAUGAUAGGACUAUCUUGGAAACAAUGAAACAAUGCUUCAGAAGAAAACAUCCAAGGAAAUUUGGGAUUCUAUGAGGAGGAAGUAUCAAGGCUCAACGAGAGUAAAGCGUGCUCAACUUCAAGCAGUUAGAAGAGACUUUGAAAUUCUCCAAAUGCAAAAGGCAGAAACGGUGAAUGAUUAUAU